AUACCUUUCUCGGCCUUUUGGCUAAGAUCAAGUGUAGUAUCUGUUCUUAUCAGUUUAAUAUCUGAUACGUGGACCCAUGGUCCACCCGGUAUUAAAUUUAUUUUUUUAGGGGUAGAGCCCACUACAGUAGCUACUGGGCCUUUCAGCGUCGCCCAUGUCUUCCACUAUAGCAAGGGCCUGGCGCACCCCAC